GUGAUGUCUUCACUAUUAUAGAAAAUAGUACAAAUAAAGAAAAACCCCUUGAAUGAGUAGGUGUCCAAACUAUUCUUUGGUGUAUAUCUUAAAUGACAGCGUUGUCAUGGAUUUGAUGAUCUAAUUGUCAAGCCCAUUGAAAAGAUUUAUGGGAUAGGACCCAGAAGAUAUAGGACUGCGUCAGAAAUACCACGUCAGUCUGUGGAGACUGAUUGCUGUGGCUCGUUGGUAGACAGACACCUUUACUGAAAAAACAACCUUUUCUUUCUUCCCACUUCAUUAAACAGUAAAGGUGAACAAGAAUCGAAUACAAUUCUAACAUUGGAGGAGGAAAAAAAAAUAUUGUUUUCACACUCCUUUCAAGUCCAAGGUCAAACCUUUCAAGUCCAAGGUCAAACAGGUUCUCUCAACCUUUUUCCUCUGUUGUUGACAUUGUUUAUCAAAGUGCAGCUGCUACUCUUAUUAAAUCCUUGAUUGCCAUCUACCAUAGUGCCCUUCAUUUUGUUACAGGCGACAGUUUGAUCCUCAUCACUGUAUCCUGUAUCAAAGGGUUGGCUGGACUUCACUAUAGACACGUAGAUCUCUACAUUUACUCCCUCUUUUUUGUUUAGAAGGUCCUACUUUAUUGCUGUUGAAGUAUAGACACAUGGGUUGUUUAAACCCUUUCACAGGAUUGGUUAACUCUUGAGGUUCCUCAGGUCUCCACCCAGCUAAGUAAAAUCAGAGUUUAGUUUUAAUGCACCUGAAUUAUAGCUAAACAGACUGGAACCCAGGCUAACAGUUGGCUGUUUGAAUUGGAAGGAUCGGGUGUUUAGUUUUAAUGCACCUGAAUUAUAGCUAAACAGACUGGAACCCAGGCUAACAGUUGGCUGUUUGAAUUGGAAGGAUCGGGUGUUUAGUUUUAAUGCACCUGAAUUAUAGCUAAACAGACUGGAACCCAGGCUAACAGUUGGCUGUUUGAAUUGGAAGGAUCGGGUGUUUAGUUUUAAUGUAACCUGAAUUAUAGCUAAACAGACUGGAACCCAGGCUAACAGUUGGCUGUUUGAAUUGGAAGGAUCGGGUGUUUAGUUUUAAUGCACCUGAAUUA